rnacentral:rRNA from 1 species
UACGAAGGGAGCUAGCGUUGUUCGGAAUCACUGGGCGUAAAGCGCACGUAGGCGGAUGUGUAAGUCAGGGGUGAAAUCCCGGGGGCUCAACCUCGGAACUGCCUUUGAGACUGCAUCGCUUGAAUCCGGGAGAGGUGAGUGGAAUUCCGAGUGUAGAGGUGAAAUUCGUAGAUAUUCGGAAGAACACCAGUGGCGAAAGGCGGCUCACUGGACCGGUAUUGACGCUGAUGUGCGAAAGCGUGGGGAGCA